UACGUAGGGUGCGAGCGUUAAUCGGAAUUACUGGGCGUAAAGCGUGCGCAGGCGGUUAUGUAAGACCGAUGUGAAAUCCCCGGGCUUAACCUGGGAACUGCAUUGGUGACUGCAUUGCUGGAGUAUGGCAGAGGGGGGUGGAAUUCCACGUGUAGCAGUGAAAUGCGUAGAGAUGUGGAGGAACACCGAUGGCGAAGGCAGCCCCCUGGGCCAAUACUGACGCUCAUGCACGAAAGCGUGGGGAGCAAACAGG
rnacentral:rRNA from 1 species